rnacentral:tRNA from 2 species
GCCAGCAUAGCUCAGUUGGUAGAGCAGCUGAUUCGUAAUCAGCAGGUCUGGAGUUCAAGUCUCCAUGCUGGCUCCA